UUGGAUUAAAAUGGCAAAGGUCCAAUUUAACUGUUUAUUGGACAAAGUACUAAAAUGGCUAACAUUUUUCAUUGCUUAAGGAAUUAAAUUCUAUAGCCCCAAAUUAAUUAUUCGCAGUCGCCCAAAAUAAUUAAAAGAAGGUGGUCCAAAUACUAAAAUUUUCCUAGACCCAAAGAAAGUGGCCCAACAGUAAACUCCCUUCUCACUCGUCGACUCUCCCUCACUCCAAAAUCCCCCAAAUCAAUUCCAAACCCUAACCCCCUUACUUCUCACAAAAUCGGCAGCCUCCCUUCCUUGGCGAAGACGACCCACCGGCCGCUCGCCGCCGCCUCCCUCCGUUUCUUCCUGUCUCGUCCCUCUCUUCCCUUUUUAAUUUAGACGGAUCUUAAAUGGGGAAAAACCCAAUUUCGAAGAGGCCUCGGCGCCGCCUCGCCCGUCGGUCACCACCGCCCCGGCCGAUACUCUCUCGAGCUACUGCCGUCGUCUCCGGGUUUUGUCACGGCCGGAAACCCGCCGUCUCUCCUUUCUAUCUGAAUUCGAACAGGGCUUGACGUCACUUCGCGAGGCCUCUACCUCAGCUGCUGCUCGGCGAGGCUCGGGGCGCCGCAUCCGUCGCUCCAUACACCAACGCCUGCCGUCCAUUCGCUGUCGACACAGUAGCUGUCUCGCGGCAGCUUCCGGGGCUCCAUCGUCAGUCGGCCUCGCGCAAGCUAAGUCCUCUAAUCUUUUAUUGUUUAGCUCGUUUGAUUAGGUGAUGUUUGGUGUUUAGAGGACUUAUUCGUAACUGAUGCUGGGACUUUCUUGUGAGUUUUGUUGAGGAUUGAGUAGUGAAGAUUGUAUAACUGUUAUUUGGAGGACUCUUUGCAAUUGUUGUGAUUAAAGUGGUUAUUCAUUGGGGUGGAUUUAACCCCUUCAAACCCUGUUCGUUGGGGGGUUUCUGCCCUUUGAGAUUUCGGAUUUGCACUCGGGAUUGCUACUUGCCCACCCAACUGUUGUGUUACUGAGAUUUUUGUAUAUGUGGGAGGAAGAGGAAAAUGGGGCAUACGGAGGGGUUUCAUAGACAGACCGUGUACUAGUGAAGCAUUAAUUGAGCUGUUGUAUACUUUGUUUUCCUUCUGCAGCAGGCCCCUCUUCUCUGGCCGUUGCAGCCACCUUAACUGCAAGUCCUUGGUGCGAUUUUUUUUUGGCAGGUGCACAACUGAAAUGGUGGUUAACUGCAGCUUUGCUGCAGCUGCUGGGGCAGAUGUUGCAGGUUGAAGGGGCUGCCAUGUUUGUCUUGUGGUAGCCUGUGCUCAGGCUGGGGAGUGCAGGAGUUUGCAGCCCUCCAUCCUCCCUAUUUUGGCAAUUUUUGGUCUUCAACAAAAAAAGCUGAAAUUUGUAGGGGUGGAGGAGUAGUUGGCUGGAAACGCCCUCCCGCGCCAUGGCUCGCUGCUCUCGGCCCGACGGCUGAUCGGGGACAAGAUCGCGUGUGGCGUGGUUUGGCUUGGGAAAGAAUAGAUUCAAGAGUUUUCCUCGACAUUUUUAUGUAUAUUUUACCUUUAUUUUCAUUGUCGUAUAUUUUGUAAGCUAAGACACAGCUCGGAAUUUAAUACGUUGUAUUUUAUUUACUUAAGGAAUAAACGGACACAUUUCAUUUUUA